rnacentral:lncRNA from 1 species
CAGUGUUGAAAGAAGGUUUGUUUCCCAUCCCUCUGUAUGCUGCAAGCUAAAAAAGCCCUUUCCAGACCUUACACCACAGCUGUAACGCAUAAUGACCUCAACAGUUCUCUGCCUGAGGAAGAACAAAAGGACAUCCUAAGGGAAAACGCGCAGAUGAUCCUACGAAGUACUUGCACUGCAAUUUAGACACAGGACUAGAGGCAGAAUGCUGGGUGAGCAAGCAAGAAUCCUGGACUUCCUAAGGGAAAAAUGAAGUGCCAGUCCCGAAUGCUGCACAAGUGACCAUGGAUGUAGAAUGGUGCACGAUUUGUUCUGGGCAUCCUUAUUGUGCAAGUCUCUACACCUGCUCUUGAAAGAGAUAAGAGUUGGGUCAUGGCUUGGAGAAAUAAGAAAAGCAAAAAGGAGGAGGAACAUGAUUUCCUUUGCAGGUGACAGCUUUGGCCGGUGCAGUUCAGUGGCAGAGCUGUGGCUUUGGGAUUAGCACAGUGUUGUCCUGUGCCUGAAUUGCCCCUGGCCUGGGAGAACCUCUGUGAUGCCUUGAGCCUCCACUGGAAAGUGCUCAGAGACAUAGAUGGUAUGAAAAACAGCACAUUCAAGCCAGAAAGAGGACGGGAAAGAGGACUGCAGAAGGGACCAGAAUACUUAACAGUCAGCAAAGCGAACAUGUAACUUGAUCUGGGAGGAAACGUUGCAGGUCUUUGGGGAAGCUGAGUUGUGUGGUAUUAGCCAAGCUCAUUCUGUAUUCCCUCUGCCUGUAUUAUUUCCCUAGCACCAAGCCAACUAACAGAAACUGUUAGUUUGUAUGCGUUUAAAUAAACAGUAACUGUAUCUCCAGGUGCCUGCGUUGGUGUUUUAUUUCCUUCCUCACAGAAAGGCUGUGGAGUGCUUCUGUUUCCCUAAACCAUGACGCUCUUCUGAGGUUUUGCUGCAGUUGCUCAGCACUGCCCAACCCAGCUGCACUGCAGUCAACAGCAUGCUGAAAAGCCUUCCCUUUGGAGCCUGUCCAUGGAGUUCGGGUAGCUACUGAGCGUGUUUGCUGGCAGGUCAGAUAUCCUUCCUACCCUUCCUAGUGACUAUAAAAGCAAGGGAAGGGAUGUGCUACCUUGGGAAUGGGACUGGUUUCUUCUGGAGUACUGGCUAUUUGUUGACGCUCAUAAAACCCUGCAGUCAUACCAUCAGAGCAGAACUAAGCCUGCAGAUAGGGU